GAGAACUACGAGACGGUGACCUCGCUGGGAUUUCCCAUUCCCAAACCUGAGCUGAUCGCCCGACUGGAACGAGGGGAAGAGCCUUGGGUGCCCAAUCUCCAGGCCUCGGAGGAAAGAGAGAUCUCGAGAGGCACCCGCACAGCAGAUGAUGACAGAGUGAGUGAGAAGGAGGAGGGGAAUCAUCAUGAGCAUGUUCCUGGGGAAAUGGAACCACAGGGGACCUUUGUGCGAAGAGCUGAAGGGAAUUUUUUCCAGUGCUUGGAAGAGGGAGACGCCUGGGGAAAUAGGCACAGGUCAGAGAGGCUGCUGGGAAAACACCCAAAGAAGAAAGUGGAUGAAUCCAUUCAAUGUUGGGCAGGAGACAAGGAUCCCACAGCCCAGCAGACAAAUCCCAAGGAAGAAAAACCCUAUCCAUGCCUCGAAUGUGGGAAAGGAUUCAUUUUGAGAUCACACCUUGUGACACAUCAGACACUCCAUACUGGUCAGAAACCCCUUCAAUGCUUGGACUGUGGAGAAAGCUUCAAUAACCGCUCAGACCUCAAUAACCAUGGGAGAGGCCACUCGGGAGAGAAACCCUAUCAGUCCCUUGAGUGCAGGAAAUGUUUGAAUUGGAAGUCAGCACUAAUUACACACCAGAUAAGCCAAAUACGAGAGAGACCCCAUAAAUGCUUAGACUGUGGAAAAAGUUUCAUACAGAGGUCAGACCUUGUUAAACAUCAGGCAAUCCACACAGGAG